rnacentral:ncRNA from 1 species
GAACCCCCCCCCCCCCCCCCCCCUCUCACCCCCCCCCCCCCCCCCGCCCCCCCACGCCCCCCCCCCCCCCCUCCCCCCCCCCUCACGCCCCCCGCCCCCCCGCCCCCCCCCCCCCCCCCCCAGCACCGCCUCCCCACCUCCCCACCCCCAACCCCCCCGCCCCCCCCCCCCCCUCCCCCGACCCCCUGCAUUUAUCAGACCAAAAACCCGGCCGCGUCUGUGGGCGCGUUCCCCUUGGUGACUCUGGAUAACUUUGCGGAUCGCACGGUCUAGCACCGGCGACGGAUCAUUCAAGUGUCUGCCCUAUCAACUUUCGUCGGUACGGUAUUUGCCUACCGAGGUUCUUACGGGUGACGGGGAAUCAGGGUUCGAUUCCGGAGAGGGAGCCUGAGAAACGGCUACCACAUCCAAGGAAGGCAGCAGGCGCGCAAAUUACCCAUUCCCGACGCGGGGAGGUAGUGACGAAAAAUAACAAUGCAGGACUCGUUCGAGGCCCUGUAAUUGGAAUGAGUACACUUUAAAAGCUUUAACGAGUAUCCAUUGGAGGGCAAGUCUGGUGCCAGCAGCCGCGGUAAUUCCAGCUCCAAAAGUAUAUAUUUAAGUUGUUGCGGUUAAAAAGCUCGUAGUUGGAUUUUGGGCGCAGGCGGCCGGUCCGUCGCAAGGCGUGUACUGGACGUCCUGGCCUUCCCUCCGGUUCUCCGCCGGUGCUCUUGACUGAGUGUCGGCGGCGGCCGGAACGUUUACUUUGAAAAAAUUAGAGUGUUCAAAGCAGGCUCUCGAGCCUGGAUAAUGAGGCAUGGAAUAAUGGAAUAGGACCUCGGUUCUAUUUUGUUGGUUUUCGGAGCGCGAGGUAAUGAUUAAGAGGGACAGACGGGGGCAUUCGUACUGUGCCGUUAGAGGUGAAAUUCUUGGAUCGGCGCA